rnacentral:rRNA from 1 species
GAUGAACGCUGGCGGCGUGCCUAAUACAUGCAAGUCGAGCGAACGGACGAGAAGCUUGCUUCUCUGAUGUUAGCGGCGGACGGGUGAGUAACACGUGGAUAACCUACCUAUAAGACUGGGAUAACUUCGGGAAACCGGAGCUAAUACCGGAUAAUAUUUUGAACCGCAUGGUUCAAAAGUGAAAGACAGUCUUGCUGUCACUUAUAGAUGGAUCCGCGCUGCAUUAGCUAGUUGGUAAGGUAACGGCUUACCAAGGCAACGAUGCAUAGCCGACCUGAGAGGGUGAUCGGCCACACUGGAACUGAGACACGGUCCAGACUCCUACGGGAGGCAGCAGUAGGGAAUCUUCCGCAAUGGGCGAAAGCCUGACGGAGCAACGCCGCGUGAGUGAUGAAGGUCUUCGGAUCGUAAAACUCUGUUAUUAGGGAAGAACAUAUGUGUAAGUAACUGUGCACAUCUUGACGGUACCUAAUCAGAAAGCCACGGCUAACUACGUGC